GCAAUGACCACUACUACCGGCGGCCCCAGCGAGACCAGCUCUUGUGGUUCAUCCCUUCACUUAAGUAAUAUAGCCAAUGGACGUUUUUCCCAAGAUGGAGCUCGUAUGGUAUAGUAGGCUCCUAUGGCUCAGAAUUCCGAAGUAUUGGACAACCUGCUAUGCGUAGUACUAGUUUAUAUGUCUAUGAACUUCUAAGUAUUGGACAUAAUUGUGGUAGUCUGUUGCUAAAUCAACUGUGUUAAUUGUGGUACAGUUGAGUUGUGGGCAGAGCCGCCCCGUGCAUGGCCAGAUGAGGAAGUCACGCAUCAGUGGAGGUUUCGCUGUCUGGUGGAGACCCCAGCUGGUGAUCUGGUAAGGGUUAAGCGCCAGAGUCAGAACAAGUUUGCUGUCUGUACCUUGGACAAGGGGACCUUUUCCUGGGUUGAGACCGAUAACAUUGGGGAUCUUGCACUGUUUGUGAGCCACUACAACUCGUUCUGUUUCCCGGCCAAGGACCACCCUAACCUGAAAGCAAACUGCAUCUACUUCAUCGACAUCCACAACAGCCUGUGCGCGUUCAACCUUGAGCAUAGUACAAAGGAGCUUGUCGAAACCCUUGAAAUUGGCCCAGGCCGCAAUGACCACUACUACCGGCGGCCCCAGCGAGACCAGCUCUUGUGGUUCAUCCCUUCACUUAAGUAAUAUAGCCAAUGGACGUUUUUCCCAAGAUGGAGCUCGUAUGGUAUAGUAGGCUCCUAUGGCUCAGAAUUCCGAAGUAUUGGACAACCUGCUAUGCGUAGUACUAGUUUAUAUGUCUAUGAACUUCUAAGUAUUGGACAUAAUUGUGGUAGUCUGUUGCUAAAUCAACUGUGUUAACAUUUGAACUAUUUUGAAGCUGUGUGUAUCGCGUGUAUGAAUUUGGAACUUCGUUUCAAGCUGUUUCCUUUGGUAAGAUGGCAAGCACACGACAGAAG
rnacentral:lncRNA from 1 species